GACGAAGGGGGCUAGCGUUGUUCGGAAUUACUGGGCGUAAAGCGCGUGUAGGCGGCUGCCAAAGUCGGGUGUGAAAGCCUUGAGCUCAACUCAAGAAUGGCACUCGAUACUUGGUGGCUAGAGGACCGGAGAGGAUAGUGGAAUUCCCAGUGUAGUGGUGAAAUACGUAGAGAUUGGGAAGAACACCAGUGGCGAAGGCGGCUAUCUGGACGGUUUCUGACGCUAAGACGCGAAAGCGUGGGGAUCAAACAGG
rnacentral:rRNA from 1 species